AGCGAACGCUGGCGGCAUGCCUAACACAUGCAAGUCGCACGGGUCGGCUUCGGCCGGUCAUUGGCGGACGGGUGAGGAACGCGUAGGGAUCUGUCCUCUGGUGGGGGAUAACCGCGGGAAACUGCUGCUAAGACCGCAUGGGGCGCCGGUGUGAGAUCCGGUGUCAAAGGCUCGCAUCGCGAGGUGUGUGUCGCCUGGGGGUGAGACUGAGUCCGUUUAGCUGGUUGGCGGUUGAGUGGCCCACCAAGGCGUCAGUCGGUAGCUGGUAUGAGAGGGAGGUCCGCCACACUGGGGGUGAGACACAGCACAGACUCUUACGGGAUGCAGCAGUGGGGAAUAUUGGAACAUGGGCGCAAGCAUGAUGCAGCACUGCCGCGUGGGUGAAGAAGGUAUUCGGAUUGUAAAGCCCUUUCGGCGGGGACGAUGGUGACGGUACCCGAAGAAGAAGCCCCGGCUAACUUCGUG
rnacentral:rRNA from 1 species